rnacentral:rRNA from 1 species
GACAGAGGCCCCAAGCGUUAGGCGGAAUCACUGGGCUUAAAGCGUGUGUAGGCGGAUCGUUAAGUGUCUUGUGAAAUCCCACGGCUCACCCGUGGAACUGCUGGGCAUACUGGCGAUCUUGGGCCAACUAGGGGCAGUCGGAACAAGCGGUGGAGCGGUGAAAUGCGUAGAUAUCGCUUGGAACGCCGAAGGUGAAAACAGACUGCUGGGGUUGCGCCGACGCUGAGACACGAAAGCCAGGGGAUCAAACGGG